rnacentral:misc_RNA from 1 species
GUAAUACCAGAAGUAGGUAGCUUAACCGCAAGGAGAGCGCUUCCCAAGGUAGGACUAGCGAUUGGGGUGAAGUCGUAACAAGGUAUCCGUACGGGAACGUGCGAAUGGAUCACCUCCUUUCUAUGGAGAUAUUUAUUUUACUGACUAUUUAAUUCUAUUUAGUUUUCAGAGAUCGUCAAAAAUCUCUAAAAUAGAUUGUUCUUUGAAAACUGAAUAUUAGAUGAAAUGCAAUUUUCUGAUUAUAACAACAUAUUUAUAAUUAGAUAAUUAUUACGAUUUUUUUUAUUUCGUAAUGACAUCAAGACAAUUAACUAAAAUUAAUUGAGUUACAAAUUGCUAGAAAGAUUUUCUAAAAAAUAGUAAGAGCAUAUGGUGAAU